AAAAGCCCCAACUCAGACUCAGACUCCAGUUCAUUCAUUUCUCAGUGUACAUGUAACACCAGAGGACAGAGAAUGAAGGAAAUACCACUGUCUGUCAUUAUUGUACUACACAUCUGGUCCUACGGUGUUAAAGCUCAAGAAUCUGGAAAAGGCUGUCAAAGACCCCAACUGGACAAUGGCUUUGUUGACCCGGAGCAGAACAUGUACCAGGAUGGCAUGACUUUGACUUAUGCCUGUGAUAAAGGUCUGAAAACACCAAUGGAAGGCUGGUGGGGGAUGAUUACAUGUGAGAAUGGUAGAUGGUCUGAUACUCCUCUGUGUACGGCCAGUCGUUCUUGUGAUGCACCUCCUCAAGUGAACCAUGCAACCGUUGUUCAACAAUAUCAAAACAAGUUUAGUAAUGGAUCAAAAGUGGUUUAUAAAUGCAAACGAUCCUACAUAAUGGAAGGGAAUGCAGAUGUAGUCUGCCUUUUAGGAGAAUGGACUUCCGCCCCCACAUGCAGUGAGUUCUGACUUAAAGGGAUAAGCAAAUAAGCCCUUUUCCUAUUUACCCUGAGUGAGAUGAACUUGAGCAUGCUAUCCGUUCCGGUAGACUACCAGUCACUGUGCUAACGCUAGUUAGCAUUGGCUCGCAAAACUACCUCUAACUUCCUUCAUAUUGUUCACAGAGACAUACCAUUUUUAUCCAUUACUUAAUCUUGAUUUGGGUAAAUAGAAGCAGGGCUUAAAAUCUCACACUAUCCCUUUAAGAUCCAACUGAUUUCGGCAUUUGA